UGCAGUCGAGCGGUAACAGAUCCGUGCUUGCUGGAUGCUGACGAGCGGCGGACGGGUGAGUAAUGCAUAGGAAUCUGCCCGAUAGUGGGGGAUAACCUGGGGAAACCCAGGCUAAUACCGCAUACGUCCUACGGGAGAAAGGGGGCUCCCGCUCCAGCUUUGGGAUGAGCCUAUGUCGGAUUAGCUAGUUGGUGAUGUAACGGCUCACCAAGGCCACGAUCCGUAUCUGGUCUGAGAGGAUGAUCAUCCACAUCGGGACUGAGACACGGCCCGAACUCCUACGGCAGGCAGCGGUGGGGAAUAUUGGACAAUGGGGGAGACCCUGAUCCUGCCCUGCCGCGUGUGUGAAGAAGGCCCUCGGGUUGUAAAGCACUUUCAGCGAGGAAGAACACCAAGCGGUUAAUACCCGCUAGGA
rnacentral:rRNA from 1 species